rnacentral:tRNA from 1 species
GUGGCCUUAGCUCAGUCUGGAAGAGCACCUGUCUGAAAAGCAGGAGGUCCCUGGUUCGGUCCCAGGAGGUCACACCA